rnacentral:rRNA from 1 species
GAUGAACGCUGGCGGCGUGCUUAACACAUGCAAGUCGAACGAGAACUGGAGACGGAAACCUUCGGGCGGAAGGCUUCAUUUCGAGUGGCGGACGGGUGAGUAACGCGUGGGUAACCUGCCUCAUACAGGGGGAUAACAGUUGGAAACGACUGUUAAUACCGCAUAAGACCACAGCACCGCAUGGUGCGGGGGUAAAAACUCCGGUGGUAUGAGAUGGACCCGCGUUCGAUUAGCCAGUUGGCGGGGUACGGCCCACCAAAGCGACGAUCGAUAGCCGAUCUGAGAGGAUGACCGGCCACAUUGGGACUGAGACACGGCCCAAACUCCUACGGGAGGCAGCAGUGGGGAAUAUUGCACAAUGGGGGAAACCCUGAUGCAGCGACGCCGCGUGAGUGAAGAAGUACUUCGGUAUGUAAAGCUCUAUCAGCAGGGAAGAAAAUGACGGUACCGGAGUAAGAAGCCCCGGCUAACUACGUG